GACAAAAGCCUACACUGCCAUGGAUGU
rnacentral:misc_RNA from 1 species